UUUUAAAUUGAGAGUUUGAUCCUGGCUCAGGACGAACGCUGGCGGCGUGCCUAACACAUGCAAGUCGAGCGAUGAAACUUCCUUCGGGAAGUGGAUUAGCGGCAGACGGGUGAGUAACACG
rnacentral:rRNA from 1 species